rnacentral:rRNA from 1 species
UACGUAGGGAGCAAGCGUUGUCCGGAAUUACUGGGCGUAAAGGGCGCGUAGGCGGGAUGAUAAGUUAGGUGUGAAAACUUAGGGCUUAACCUUAGGACUGCACUUAAAACUAUCAUUCUUGAGGACAGGAGAGGAAAGUGGAAUUCCUAGUGUAGCGGUGAAAUGCGUAGAUAUUAGGAGGAACACCAGUGGCGAAGGCGACUUUCUGGACUGUAACUGACGCUGAGGCGCGAAAGCGUGGGGAGUGAACGGGAUUAGAUACC